rnacentral:rRNA from 1 species
UACGUAGGGUGCAAGCGUUGUCCGGAAUUAUUGGGCGUAAAGAGCUCGUAGGCGGUCUGUUGCGUCGGCUGUGAAAACCCGGGGCUCAACCCCGGGCCUGCAGCCGAUACGGGCAGACUAGAGUUCGGCAGGGGGAGACUGGAAUUCCUGGUGUAGCGGUGAAAUGCGCAGAUAUCAGGAGGAACACCGGUGGCGAAGGCGGGUCUCUGGGCCGAUACUGACGCUGAGGAGCGAAAGCGUGGGGAGCGAACAGG